rnacentral:rRNA from 1 species
GACGAACGCUGGCGGCGUGCUUAACACAUGCAAGUCGAACGGAAAGGCCCCUUUGGGGGUACUCGAGUGGCGCACGGGUGCGUAACACGUGAGUAACCUGCCCUUGACUUCGGGAUAACUUCAGGAAACUGGGGCUAAUACCGGAUAGGAAUCCUUGCUGCAUGGUGGGGGUUGGAAAGCUUCUGCGGUUUUGGAUGGAUUCGCGGCUUAUCAGCUUGUUGGUGGGGUAGUGGCUUACCAAGGCUUUGACGGGUAGCCGGCCUGAGAGGGCGACCGGCCACAUUGGGACUGAGAUACGGCCCAGACGCCUACGGGAGGCAGCAGGGGGGAAGAUUGAACAAUGGGCGGAAGCCGGAUGCAGCAACGCCGCGGGCGGGAUGACGGCCUUCGGGUUGUAAACCGCUUUCAGCAGGGGCGAAGCUUGUGGUGACGGUACCUGCAGAAGAAGCACCGGCUAACUACGUG